AAGCAAAAAAUAUGCCUAGAAAUAUGAAUUGAAAAGAGCAUUCAUUUGGUUUGUUUACACUUUUUUUGCCAAGCGAGAGCUAUCCCGAGGUCAUGACGUCAGAAGUUUAUUAAUAACCAGGGAAUUCCACAUUCAACACCCCUAUUUCUGGAUGUGAAUAUUUAUCUAACAUAUUGCUCUAUCAUGUGGUCAAAGAUAUUUUGGAAAUGAAGAUUUUUAAAAAAGUUACAAAGAAAAUAAAACACAUGUUUUUACUAUAUAAGUCUAUAUGUAAGCUAAUUGUGGUCCGGGUCCUUAUGAUGGGGUGUUUGAGGGUUUCCCCUGAAUUUAUUUUUAAAGAUAUGACAAUGAAAUUUUGACAGGAGGUGGGUUAUGCAUUUUGAAAUAGUUUCAUAAAAUUUUUUUAAAAAUAUUUAAAUAUUUUAAAAUUAAUUUUUAUAAAAAUUAAAAUUUUUUGAGUGAUUGAAAAAAUAUUGAAAUUAUGCAUCCCAGAAUGCAAUAUUUCAGGGGAAUUGAUAUGUCGGUGAAAGAGGUCACAUUAGUGCAUCCAUUGACCACGAAGAUAGUUCCUUUUUAAAAAUAGAAAAACUGUUUUGUAAUGUGUAUUUGCAUGUGUAUUCUUAAUAAGGGGUCCCUUUGAAGUCAUAGAUGAAAGACGAGGUGUUUAUUGGAAAUGACAGACAAGCUAUCCAUUGAUUUCCCCCACCCAAAAUAAGGCGCAAUAAGAAGGUGGUGAUUGGGCCAAUAUUUACAAUAACAUGUGCAUGGAUUUAUUUGCAGGAAACCGCACGUGGAAAUGGGAUUCAGGCUUUGCCCGACUCAUAAUUGCACAUGCAGGCAGAGGUUGUGUAUUGGAGUUUAUAAUUUCAGGUGCAGGGAUGUCAGUUUGUUUGGGGCGAGGAUAUAAGACUGAUUCCACCAGUUGUGUCUGUCUCCACCUUCACACACCACUGAAUUCCUUCGACAUUUUGAACAGUCUCCUGAGUAGCAGAGGAUGGUACUUUCUACGACAAGAGGAAGUUUACUACAGAUGAUGUUGAUGUCUCCAGUGUAGGGGAACAUCUCGGGGCUGAAGUGGGCACUGCGACACUGCCGGAACUGGGCUCUGCUGACAUGGGUUGUGUCGGCCAGUCGAGUGACUUGCCAGUCUGGAUGAAAAAUUCGCAUGGCAUCUUGGAAUCCCUGGGCUGACCGGGCAUCACCGUCUGUUGUGGCGUGCUUCACCUUGAACCCGUCCGCUGCCAGAUCUUCGCCUAUGGAUUUAGCCAUCUCGUACUCUGAAAGAGGGCUAGAGUGGCUGUGUUGACCUGGUUGCUGGCCCUUUGCAUGGAACUGCGGUUAGGAGGUGGAAUGUCCAAGGCAGCUACCAUUUCCCGACUGCGUCGAUUCCCCAUGGAGGUGUUCUGCAGGGCUAAUUGAAAGUUCCAGUUGAUACUGGCAGGAUUAGGGCCUGGUUUGUUAAAGCUCCUGGCAUGGCUCAGGUCUGGGACGAAGGAUCGGUGUCCUUGAGAUGUUUUCCUGGCCUUCAGCAAGGGGAUGUGCUGUCUCGGUCUCUGGGGAUCCCUGGAUGUUUGACGCUGAACUUGAAGCUCCUGCGGCGUUUGACGUAGCCUGAUGAGCCUUAAUAUAAUGAGUGUUCCCUUUUUUAAAUCCAAAAUUAAGAUUUUUUCUUCUUUUACGGUCACCUUUCAUUGUUUUCAUGUGUAGUGAAGAGUGGAUUUGAAAGCAAGAUUGAAUUAUGACAAUGUUUAUUUGGACACUUUUUUAGUGGUAUUUACUGCAAUAUAUUCCUUUGACAAUCACCUGUCAAAACAGACUCCCAUAGGGUAUUAAGAUUACCUAUACAAAGACUCUUAGCCAAUCAGCUGCACAUGGCCCCUCUUCACAGUCAGGAAAAAGGAUAUGGGGGUGGGCUUAAAAAUCUGUUUAUUUUGAAUGUUAUGUACACUUUUAUCAGUAAUGUGAUACAUCAUUUGAUUUAUGAAUAAAUGUACUUUAAAUGUU